rnacentral:lncRNA from 1 species
CUCAUUAACUGACUGCUUGAUUACUUGGUGAUAUCUUUUAUAUGAAGUUUGUUGUCCUAGCAGUUUCUGUGAAAGAAGUGCCAUCUUCAGGCUUGCUAUUUUAAAAUUCUGAAAGGUUAAAUAUUAUGUCAACUAAGUUAAUUCAUCAGUUUAUUCAUUCUUUCCGUGAAUAUUUACUGAGCACUUCUGGUAUGACAGUCAUUAUUUUAGGUUCUUAAAAUAUCAAUAAGUAAAACUGACAAAACUUUCUGGGUUUUUAUUCUAGGUAAUGGGUAAAUAGACAAUAAAUAAAGUAAGUAAACAGUUUAUGAUGUUCACAUGUGUGAUUUUAGGGCUCCCAAUCUACACUUUUCCUUUUCCCCCUUUUUUUCUUGUUCCAGUGUGUAAAUAAUACUCAGGAAUUGUGAGGCCCAGCUGGGUGAAAGGCAUCAGUGGCCAGAGCAUUUUGCUCCCAUGGGACAAUAGCCAAUUUUCUAAACUUCCCACUUCACCCUCGGCCCUGUUUGUAAUAUUUUCUUGUUUUGUUUUGUUUUGUUUUUAUUAAAAGAUUGCUCAAGAAUUAUUUUUAUGGUUGUCUGGUAACUACAAAUUAGGUAAUUGUCCUUAAAAAUUGUAAUUUUUUGGUUAUAUAUACAAGAGUCUCAUUUUUAAUAACUGUACCUUUUUUUCAGAAAUGGCCAUUAAGAAGUAGAUGUCCAGAUGCAAAGGGUUUUGAAACAGUCCAUUUGUCGUAAAGUAAGAUGCAGCUGUGGCUUUUCAACCAGAUUAGAACAAAAUUAUAUCUUUUUCUCAGAAGAGAAUUCCACAAGGAGCUUGAGGAAGGAAGUCCUGGACCUUUGUGUGGUACUAUCCAAUCCCCUGCUCAAAGGCAGUGAAGUCAGGCAGUACUUUAGAAGAAACCCAGACUCUCCUUUUCUGGGACCACAGUACUGAAAGCAAAAACAGACACUUCAAAAGGUUUAAUCUCCACAAAUUUAGUCUAUUACAUCUUAAUAUGUCACAUUUUGACACAUGAAAUUUAAAUCUAUAUCUACAUUAAUACAAUGCAAAAUACAUACAAUAAAGAUGGAUCAUAGAGUUUGAUACUAUUAGGGCUCAACUGUAAAGUGUUUGAUACGUAUUUAUACAGUAGUGGGGAUUGAACUCAGGACCCUCACACUGAGCAACAUCACCAGCCCCUUAUUUUUUAUUUUGAGACAGGUUCUCACCAAGUUGUUUAAUUGCCCUGGCUAGGCUCAAAUUUGUGAUCCUCUCAGCCUCCCAGUGUUGAGAUUACAGUCAGGCAUCACCAUGCCCAGCUUGAUGACCUUUAAAUGUUUGGUGUGUAUUCUUUUGUUAGUGUCUUAUAAAGGGUUAUAUUAUGUGUCUAUGUUUUAAUUUAUAUUAAAAAAUGAGAGAAAGAGAAAUAUGUCACCCUACCAUAUCUAAUAUAAUGUAAGAAACCCACAGAUAAUUAAGUAUUGUUCUUUUUUUAAUUUUUAUGUUUUGGUACUGGGGAUUGAACUUGGGACCUUGCACUUGCGAGGCAGGCAGCGGCACCACUGAGCUAAAUCCCUGGCCCAGUAUUGUUCUUUUUUUUAAAAAGUAGUAUUCUUGACCAUAACAAACCUUAGAAUAAAAUGAUUUAAGACAUAUACCAUAUACAAAGGACAUACACAUUAGAACUUAUUCUGAUUUUUGAUCUCUGUUCCACCUUUCUCCCCCUGCAUUUCCCUCCAAGAUCAGGCCACAUUGCUGAGUGUUCAUCUAGUUUACUUUGUCUAACUAAUACACUGUACUCCAUAUUGAUGUUUAUGAAAAAUGAAUCCAUUAAAUGUAAAAUUUCUUCAAUAUGUAAAGCACCUAAAAUGGAUAUUUAGGAAAAGGCCAUUUUGUGCUUCUUUCUUUCUUUUUUUUUUUUUUUUUUUUUUUUGGUACCAGGGAUCGAACUCGGGUCCUUGCGCUUGCGCAGCAGGCGGCGAAACUACUGAGCUAAAUCCCUGGCCCUAUGUGCUUAUUUCUUUAUAUUAGUCCAAGGACUUUUUUCUAUCAGAGAUUUUGAGCUUAUUUUUUCUUUAUAUUAGAAUUAAAGUUAAAAGAAUAUAAUUUAGAUGCUGUGGAUGUUUAGAGGAAGAAAUACAAACAUCUGUUCAGGAGGCUUCCUAUCUUGGUCUGUUAAGAGUUGUCAAAGAAAAGGAUGGUAGAGCCUUAUAAAAACAUGUAUUUUUCUUCUGGAAAUUGUGUCAGAAUGUAUUAUCUCACUAAAGCUUAAUAGUUAAAUUGGCUGAUGCCAAGAGAAAAGGUAAUGCCAAUAAUAUGAAACCAUGUCAUUAUCUGUCACAAAUUAAUUUCUGUAGUGUGUUAUAUUUAAACAUUAAUCUUCUCUUCUAAUUCCACAAAGCAGAACUGUCUUCUGUGAAACCCCUUUGCUGAAUGAAAUAUACAGUAAGAAUUGAAUAAUAACCAGUACAAGUGCCAGGCUCUGUAUGUGGGAUGCAGAGACACUACAGUGGUACCUUGGUUCAUGAAUGCUUUUGUUUGCAAACAAUUUGGUUCACAAACAGAAGCAUUUGGCAAAAUUUUGUUUUUGUUUGCAAACUCAGACAUGACCGUGGCCAUCUUUUCCAAAAUCCUAGAACAAAUUAAGUUUGUGAACUAUUUCAUCUAUAGUAGUGCAGUAUCAGGAGGAGCAACUUCUCUUUAAGCUCCUAACUAGAAAUUGACAGAGUGGGAACUUGUGAUUUGUCUUGUUUUGUUUUGUGACAGGGUCUUACUAUGUAGUUCAGGCUGGCCUUGAACUCGUGACAGUCCUCCUGCCUCAGCCUCCUGAGUGCUGAGAUUAUAGGAAUGCGCCACCAUGCCUGGCAAGGUUGAGGUUUUUUGAAAGAAGUUAUUUAUAUGUCAGCACUCGAGGAUUUAUAAGAAUUUUGUGAGAAGAACAAAAACUCCUGAAGUUGAUACUAAACAGUUUAGAGAAUUAAAAAAUUAAAUAUCAAGUAAUGUAAAGACACUUUGUCCGAUGUGUUUUUGAAUCUUUUGUGUAUAGCACAGUAUUGUCACACUGAUGUGUUAGCACACUGCAUAAGCAAAACUGAUAGUUUUCCCAUCUUACAAAUAGCAAACCAGGAGUAGAAUUGAUUUUUAGGUUUCAUUUUUGUUUUUGUUUUUUUUUACUAAUUUAUACUGCCACUCUGUCAACUGAUCCUUUGCUCUGUUGUACAGAAGAUGUAAUUGCUAGGUUAGUUUUGAGAGAAGUGUUUCUAACCAGGAAGAACCUCAUGGCUUGAGAAAUUUAAACACUUAUACAGGCAAAAAUAUAAACAAUAAAUAAUAUAGGUGACAAUCACUAAACCUUAAGGUUCAUUAAAGCAGUAUUUAUUAAAUUGAUAUAGAUUUGGUCUAGUUCUGUUGCACAGAAAAGUCUUUUCAUAAAUACAUCCAAUUUAGGAUGAAUAACAUAAGCUUGGAUAUAUUUAGGGCAGAGCAUAUCAGUUAAUUUUCUUUCAUGUGUCUCAUUUUGGCAGAUGGGACAUUAAAAUCCUUAUGUGGAUAUAGAAUGAGUAAUUAGACUUCAUAUUUCAGAAUGUAGUUAAUUUUAUCCCCUUAAAUUAUUUGUUUAUAGUGUGAAAAUCAGGUACUGGAUUUUAAACCUGUAUCUUUUAUCUUGAGAGGCUUAAUUUGGUUCAGACUCAAUUACAGGGAGAGGUCAAGAUUGGUUUUGAGUAAUUUAGUGUUGUGUUAGGUCAUGCUAGAUCUACAGGGUCUUCAAAUAAAUUACCCUGUUUGAUUUGAGCCUGGGGAUAGGUUGUGAGAAAUUUCACAUGUAGCUGAUAAAAUAAAGGAAUGCUGAUUGACUGAUUGAUAGUCCAUUUAAUACCUUGGAGUAUGGGACUCUGGAGUGUGUUUUUUUUGUUGUUAUUACUGGUGGUGUGGUAACGAUGCUGGGAUUGAACCCAGGGCCUUGUAUGCUGCAGAAGCAUUCUACCACUGAGCUACACCCCCAGUCCCUAGCAGCGUUUUUUAUUUUCAAAGAAAAGAU